rfam:Schistosoma mansoni strain Puerto Rico chromosome 1, complete genome
AUUCAGCUGACGCGUCCCAAAUCGGACGAGACGAGCGUCCUAGAU